rnacentral:lncRNA from 1 species
AGGCAAUCUCUGCUCAGAUGGCACUUGGUCAAUGAACCUUUUAAAGACAUCUGCAUAUAAAACAGUGUCUCACCAGCCUGGACAACAUAGUGAGUAUCCGUUUCUUUAAAAAAAAUAAAAUAAAAAUGAGCUGGGCUUGGUGGUGUACAGCUGUAGUCCAAGCUACUCAGAGGCAGAGGCAGGAGGAUCGCUUGAUCCAGGAGGUUGAGGCUGCAGUGAGCUGUGAUCCUGCCACUGCACUCCAGCCUGGGCGACAAACUGAAACUUUGUCUCUGAAAAUAAAAAAUAAAAUAAAUAAAACAGUGUCUCCCUGUCCAGCACUAGUUUCCCCUCUUUCUUUAUUUAAAAUUGUGGUAGCCUGGCCAACAUGGUGAAACCCCGUUUAGCUGGGAGGUAUUACUGGAGGGAGAGUCUCAAGCCAGGCACAAAAGGUGGGGAGGAUGUGGCUGACUCCAUGGGAUGAGUGGGAUCUGGAAUCAGACCCAGGACCUGAGCCAGAUUUGCUGCUUUGUAGCCAUGUGGACUUGGGAAAGUCUCCUGGAGCCUCAGUUUCUUCAUCUGUAAAAUGGGGCUAAUAACACUUGUCUCUGAGGGUUGCUAUGAGUUCUAUUGUUAGAAAUCUUCUCUGUUGGGCAUGGUGGCUCACGCCUGUGAUCCCAGCACUUUGGGAAGCUGUGGCUGGUGGAUCACCUGAGGUCAAGAGUUCGAGACCAGCCUGGCCAACAUGAUGAAACCCCAUUUCUACUAAAAAUACAAAAUGUAGCUGGGUCUGGUGGCAUGUGCCUGUAAUCCCAGCUACUCGGGAGGCUGAGGUAGGAGAAUCACUUGAAUCUGGGAGGUGGAGGUUGCAGUGAGCUGAGAUCGCACCACUGCACUCCAGCCUGGGAGACAGAGGGG